CACCCGAUGACUGAAAGUAAGUGUAGGUCUUUUAAACCUAUCAUAGUAUUCACGCCUACUUCUGGUGA
rnacentral:tRNA from 3 species